AUGAAAGCAAGAGGAGAGACUGUUGGAUAACAGCGCCGAAGGAGCAAGCAAAUUUCUUGUGAAUCUCUCAGGCAAAAAGACUCUUGCCGGACG
rnacentral:ncRNA from 2 species